UGAGCUUUUAUAUGAUGCUUUAUUUUAUUGUUAUUGCACCCUUCCUCCCAGGAUCUCAUGUGAAUGGCCUACAGGGUUCUUCCCCUCCCAGCAACUUCUUGAAUAUUUCCAACAGUCCUGUGAGGUAGGUUAGGUGGAAAGAGACUGCCUGGAAGUCACUUGAUGAGCUUUAUGGUUAAACUGGGAUUUUGAAACCUUGAACUAAUUCUCUAAGGCAGGGGUAAAGUGACCAAAAGCCAUGAAUAUAUGACCCAGGACUUUCUGGUAACAGCUCUGCAGUGGGGACUGUUAGAACAAUGGCUUACCUAAGGUGAAGCAUGGAUGGAUGGAUGGACUGUGAACAUUGUGGCUCUACUGAGGCUUGACUCAAGAACUUUACCUUCGGAUUCUUUAUCUCAAGCCAUACCAGCUCUCUGAAGAUCUGGAAACUGAAAAAUCGGUUACGAAACAAUUGAUUUCAGAGUGGAAUACUUAAAGUGGUGUUGCGAAUGUUGCCUUGGAGCAGCCAAUUUACACAGCUGCAAAUUGUAGGUCCAAAAUUCAAAGGUCAUAAUGCUACGGAUGCUAGCGGCGCAGCUACUGUCUCUGGAAUUGCAAAACAAGCCGUGCUCUUGGGACCCACUACUAGGCAAGUACAUUCAAAUGUUGCAGAACAUCUUCCGGUCUUUCGAUCCAGUAGUGCAAACUCUGGAGUUGGCCAAGUGUGUGGCUCUUGCAAUGAGAUAGCAGUGUGUGUGUGUGUCUUUCCAUGUGUCUUUCACAGUUGCUGCCUCCAUUUCCCCCCUGUUUCUCACUUGCCUGGAGUUUAUCCACCUUCUGCACCAGAUGAAAUAACUGGAUUAAUGUUUGACAAUGCACGCACACAUACAGAGGCAACUGGCAUGCAUAAGCUGACAUGGUGGCUUAAUUUCAUGCAAGCCCUUCAUUUUCUGAAGCCCAUGAAACUGUUAGAGAGUUUAGUAUUAUAAAGUUUAACUUGCUGUCCAAAUUUAUUGUGAUUCCUGUUACAUUAUACGAGUUCUAUUUCUUGGGCUUUUCAUCUUCUGCCGAGAAUCGUGAGCUCUGCAUACUGCUUCUAAGCCCAGAUAAUAAAACCUUCAUUUUGUUCAGUACCCUCUAGAUGGUUUCAGCUUUCAACUUUUAAUUCCAGCCCCCUCUCCCCCAUUUUUCCAGCUGGCAAAAACUAGGGCAUCCUUGGGUACUUUAGAGUGCUUCAUCUUCUGUCUCCACUUCCAGCAUCUCUGAAUGCCUCAAGGCAGGAAGGCAGCGUUAAAAAUAAACCCUAAUAAUAAUAAUCCAGCUGCGUCUCUAAUAUUCAUUAAGAAUAAAAGAAUCUCAACUUUCAACUUGUGUAACUCUACUAAACUAAACAGUACAAUUGUAUGUAAUGUUGUACAUUCAUUCUUUUUCUUUUUAAUUAUCACAUAUAUUUCAAUUGCUGUUCAAAUUCCUGUUUUCUCUCAAAGUCCAUGCCCGGCUCCUGAUCUGGAGCAUGUGCAGUUGGAGUGUCUGUAUUUGUAUAAAUGUAAAUAAUGACGAUCACAAGGGGAGAGAUGAACAUAAUGGGGGUCUGUGUAAGCUCAAAGGUGGCCAGAGCCUCUGAGAAUGCUCAGCUGUGGUUUCCAGCACAGCUUGGCCGGAGCUCCUAAAAUAAAAUACAAUUAAUAAAGAUCUGGCUGUCUAUCACUUACGCUUUCCGAUUAGCAGUCCACAUCAAGAGAAGCAUGGUGGCAAAUAGGCAAAGGUGUACAAAGUCCAGGCCUUAUAUGCCUUUAUCUGCUAUGGAAUCCCAUUAUUAUCAAUUAACAAAAAGAGAGCAGCCUUAGAAUAGACUUCAGUAGUGAAGAACUGCUUCGAAACAUGGGUGGCAUCUGCAUUAAUUGUGGGAUGAAAGCUUCCAUGGGUGAUAGAGUGACAUUACUGGAUAAGGUAGAGGUAUGCAUGAGUUAUCUUUUAGGUGAACUUUAUGGCUACAAGGUGCUAGUGGCCAGCAUGUGUUACUAGCCUUCCAUCCCGCAAGUACACAUCAGUCAUUUGUGGAUUAGCUGCCCCUCCCCAUUUUGUUUAAUGCCUGGAGGUAGUUUCUUGGAGCCAUUUGUUACUCACCUUAGUGGCUAAUUAUAAGCUUGGAUUAAAAUAUAAUGGAGCAGACAAGCUGGUUAAUGCUCAGGGCAACUGAUAGGUAAGCAUUGAUAGGUAAGCAUUGUUUUAUUGUUGUAUCCUUAAUAUAGAUGCUGGAUUCCUCAUAACAGCGUUUUCCUUCCUAAAUUAAGCUUCCUGGUAGAAUAAAGAGAGAAGCUUAAUUGUCAGCAGUAGUUCUGUAAGAAUUCAAAUGGGUAAGCAUUUCUUUGUGCUUCACAACCCCAUGUAGACCUAUGUUCUAGUUUUACAUCUCUGUCCGCAACUAGUUUCCUUGGAGGAUCCACUUUGUGGCAAGCACACCUAGUGUACUUCCAUUUUGUAAGGGCUGACAUGCUGAAAACUUAGACACAACUGUGGCUAUGUCUCCACACCUUUCUUUGUCUACCAUUUUCCUAUACAUUGCCAAGAUAAAGCUUCAGUUCAUAUGGCUGCUGGUACUUUGCUUAGUGCUUUAUCUCUGCUCCCACUUGACUCCUCCUUCCACCAGCAAGACUGGCUUCGGUAAUAAGGAAUCUUCCAGGAGGAGAAAAGUUUAGCCUUCCUUCCUGACUGGGACUCCUGGUUUGUCACUAACCAGAGUCUGAAUGUGGCCAUUGUGAUUAAGGGCCAGGAGCAAGAUUUUCCAGUGCCGAAGUGUUGGCGAGGGUGUGCGCAAGGGAAGAACUUGCCGGAACGAGGCCCAGCUGAAACCAGGCCUGCUUAAUUAGCUGCGUUGCUUUUCCUAAAUGCCAAGUCACGCCCAAUUUCAAAACAGCGCGUUUAAACUCUUAUUAAUUUUGGAACAUUCCAGCGCCGCCUGCAGUAUGACCUUAAGGCACGCUUGGCUUGGGAGAGCAGAACAGCAGCUCCAAAGGUUUCUCUUGUGUUUGACUUGUCUCCAAGGUUCUCUUUCAAUUUCAGACGCAGUGUUUAAUCUGGCCCCACCCCAGUCAUGAGCCACUAAAUAGUGGCUCGCACAGAUUAGUUGGAAUAAUUAAAGUAGCCCUUUCACUCUUGGAAGCUGGAUUCACUUGGAGCCAACUGAAUGGAUGUUACUCUGAAUCAGAGCAAAGCAGCUGGUUUUGUCAGGGACUCUGGAGUCGGUAGAUCUGUCAUUAAUGCUGGAAACUGUAGGAAGGCUUUCAAAGACCAGAGGGAAAUGCCUGCAUUCCAGGAACAGGGCAGACCUUAAUGGCUUUAAAGUAUGUGGAGCUCUUCAGACAGAACACAGCAAAAUGCCCCCCCCCCCCCCCCAAUAACUCUGUGCUUUUGGCUAGGCAGCCUACAUUGCAGCUUGCGAUUUAACGGUUGCAGCGAGCCAUAUCGGCAUGCCCCAUUUCACACAAUUCUCCUAGCCGCAGGUUUGCACCUUAUGCCACUAGCCGUACUGAGCACCUGGGAGGGGUUGGUAAGUAGUCACCAGUGGCUUGUGAGAACUGGCUCCAAGCCACUGGGGAAGGACAUUUCUGCCAGGUAGAAGAGAGUUUGUUCUUUGUGGGUCUCUCAGAUGGUUCAUGAGGGGCUUGCCAGUUCAAGCUCUUCACCACUAUGCAACCUGUGAGGUUGAACUGGGGGCUGGACAACAGAAGCUAUUGUUAACCCAGAAUACCUUUGUUUUCUUUCCUCCCUCUUGGUCCUCCAAGGUCUAAUUUUUCCAAAAGCCUUUGCAACCCAGUAUUUAAUUAUUGGCUGAGAAAGCUCCAUGCCCACCAGCUGUGUGCCGAUUUAAGCCUGUAAAGGCACACAGAGACAUUCUGAGAACCUGCUCCUCCGCUUUGGAAUUGUUUUCCCCUGACACUUGCCAAAAACUGAACCUGCACAUCUCUUUGGAAAUUCUGGUGUAAGAUGUGUGUUAAUGAAAAAUAGCUUUUAAUGGCCAGGGUUUAGGAAAGAUAAAUAGUGGCAGCGUAACAACUGAGCAACUAUUUCCAUUUGUCAUUAGACUUUUGCGGCUUGUGCUUCUUGAGUAAAAAAAAAAAAUACCCUGCCACCACCACCUGAUUCCAGUGUCACUUUGCAAGCCACUUUGAAACACAUGGACUGAGUUUGAAACAGAGGGACUUAAAAUGUAGUGUGAGUGAAAUCUGCUCUUUAGAAUGUCUUUUAAAAUCAUACUGAUUUAUCUUAAAAUAGCUCUUUGUACCCCAGACAGUAUGUUAUUAACCCACCUUCAGCCCUUGGAGUGGAACAUGUUAUAAAGUCAAUAAAUGUGGCACAAAUGCCUUGCAUUGACAUGGAUGUCUGGCCUAGUUACAUGUUGCAUCUCAACCUAGUUGCAUCUCAGUCACAUUGGGUUUGAGAAACCCUUCACCACUUUGUGUACAUGGACCUAAAAUUAUUGUGGCAAUACAGAUUUGAAACUUGAAUGAAGUGUUAUGUAAUGUUACAAUUGUUAUGUGGCUGCUACUUUUUGGAUUAGGUGGGUGAGCCUGUUGUUGGGAGACCUAGAUGAGCAUGCAGUUUAUUUCAUUUUAUGAACCCCAAAACACACAUUGCUACAGUGAGACUUUAAUUUAAGACUGGCCAAUUGUAAAGAGGGCACAGGUCAUUUCUCUUUGCUGUGGUCACCCAGCAGGCUACACACAACACAUUUCAGUGCACCCCAAAGUCACACAGAAUGUCACUUCUGGCCACCAUUUUGACCAGUGUUUUUACUUUUCUGGGGGUCUGCUUAGGGGCGAUUGGGAAGCAAACCACUAGCUUUUGGGGUGGUUUGAGAAGAUUUGGUGGGUGUCUUGGUAAGAAAAAAUUGGCCCAAUUUUUAAAGAAAAUAUUGGGGGUUUUCUGGAGGUCUUAAGGCAGUGAUGGCAAACCUAUGACACUCAUGCCAGAGGUGGCACUCAGAGCCCUCUAUGUGGGCACAUGUGCCAUCACCCCAGCACAGAGUUUGUUACUAGA